AUCGGAAUUUGCCCAGUCGUGGGGGAUAACGUAGGGAAACUUACGCUAAUACCGCAUACGACCUAACGGUGAAAGCGGGGGACUCGCAAGAGCCUCGCGCGGAUGGAUAAGCCGAUGUCGGAUUAGCUAGUUGGCGGGGUAAGAGCCCACCAAGGCGACGAUCCGUAGCUGGUCUGAGAGGAUGAUCAGCCACACUGGGACUGAGACACGGCCCAGACUCCUACGGGAGGCAGCAGUGGGGAAUAUUGGACAAUGGGGGCAACCCUGAUCCAGCAAUGCCGCGUGUGUGAAGAAGGCCUUCGGGUUGUAAAGCACUUUUAUCCGGAACGAAACGCGCAGGGCGAAUACCCUUGCGAACUGACGGUACCGGAGGAAUAAGCACCGGCUAACUUCGUGCCAGCAGCCGCGGUAAUACGAAGGGUGCAAGCGUUACUCGGAAUUACUGGGCGUAAAGCGUGCGCAGGUGGUUUGUUAAGUCUGCUGUGAAAGCCCCGGGCUCAACCUGGGAAUGGCAGUGGAGACUGGCAAGCUAGAGUGCGGUAGAGGAUAGUGGAAUU
rnacentral:rRNA from 1 species